AAAUUGAAGAGUUUGAUCAUGGCUCAGAUUGAACGCUGGCGGCAGGCCUAACACAUGCAAGUCGAACGGUAACAGGAAGCAGCUUGCUGUUUCGCUGACGAGUGGCGGACGGGUGAGUAAUGUCUGGGAAACUGCCUGAUGGAGGGGGAUAACUACUGGAAACGGUAGCUAAUACCGCAUAACGUCGCAAGACCAAAGAGGGGGACCUUCGGGCCUCUUGCCAUCGGAUGUGCCCAGAUGGGAUUAGCUAGUAGGUGGGGUAACGGCUCACCUAGGCGACGAUCCCUAGCUGGUCUGAGAGGAUGACCAGCCACACUGGAACUGAGACACGGUCCAGACUCCUACGGGAGGCAGCAGUGGGGAAUAUUGCACAAUGGGCGCAAGCCUGAUGCAGCCAUGCCGCGUGUAUGAAGAAGGCCUUCGGGUUGUAAAGUACUUUCAGCGGGGAGGAAGGGAGUAAAGUUAAUACCUUUGCUCAUUGACGUUACCCGCAGAAGAAGCACCGGCUAACUCCGUGCCAGCAGCCGCGGUAAUACGGAGGGUGCAAGCGUUAAUCGGAAUUACUGGGCGUAAAGCGCACGCAGGCGGUUUGUUAAGUCAGAUGUGAAAUCCCCGGGCUCAACCUGGGAACUGCAUCUGAUACUGGCAAGCUUGAGUCUCGUAGAGGGGGGUAGAAUUCCAGGUGUAGCGGUGAAAUGCGUAGAGAUCUGGAGGAAUACCGGUGGCGAAGGCGGCCCCCUGGACGAAGACUGACGCUCAGGUGCGAAAGCGUGGGGAGCAAACAGGAUUAGAUACCCUGGUAGUCCACGCCGUAAACGAUGUCGACUUGGAGGUUGUGCCCUUGAGGCGUGGCUUCCGGAGCUAACGCGUUAAGUCGACCGCCUGGGGAGUACGGCCGCAAGGUUAAAACUCAAAUGAAUUGACGGGGGCCCGCACAAGCGGUGGAGCAUGUGGUUUAAUUCGAUGCAACGCGAAGAACCUUACCUGGUCUUGACAUCCACGGAAGUUUUCAGAGAUGAGAAUGUGCCUUCGGGAACCGUGAGACAGGUGCUGCAUGGCUGUCGUCAGCUCGUGUUGUGAAAUGUUGGGUUAAGUCCCGCAACGAGCGCAACCCUUAUCCUUUGUUGCCAGCGGUCCGGCCGGGAACUCAAAGGAGACUGCCAGUGAUAAACUGGAGGAAGGUGAGGAUGACGUCAAGUCAUCAUGGCCCUUACGACCAGGGCUACACACGUGCUACAAUGGCGCAUACAAAGAGAAGCGACCUCGCGAGAGCAAGCGGACCUCAUAAAGUGCGUCGUAGUCCGGAUUGGAGUCUGCAACUCGACUCCAUGAAGUCGGAAUCGCUAGUAAUCGUGGAUCAGAAUGCCACGGUGAAUACGUUCCCGGGCCUUGUACACACCGCCCGUCACACCAUGGGAGUGGGUUGCAAAAGAAGUAGGUAGCUUAACCUUCGGGAGGGCGCUUACCACUUUGUGAUUCAUGACUGGGGUGAAGUCGUAACAAGGUAACCGUAGGGGAACCUGCGGUUGGAUCACCUCCUUA
rnacentral:rRNA from 1 species